AAAUUCCAGGAGGCAAGAUGACUGUGAGAAAUAUACAUCCAGGAUUCACACAGAUAUUCCAUGAUCUUCCAAAUCAAGGUACAGUGAUAGCUACAAGGGGGUGGAACUUUGAAAUAAUCAGCAGUUCCUGGUGGCAUGUAACCAAGUAAAAACCAGUCACAGGGAGAGCCACAAAUUCCCAAGGAAGAGAAGCAAAAUGUGAAAGAGGUGCCUCUUAUUAUGAGGGGACGGGGGUGAGGGGAAGUUAUUUGUGGUGAUCCUUAGGCAGACAGAGUGAAAAUUUACAGAUUGUACAUCCCCAAACAGUGGGGAAAAUCAGGAGCCCGGAGAGCAGGAGGUGGGAUACGGAUAAAUCUGCAAAGAGAAGUCAAAGGAUGUGUUGAAGACAAGGAGAUAAAGAGAGAACUAGUGAGCAAGGCUGUAGUCAUCCUGAAAGAUACAGCAGCCAGAAUGAUUUAGGCUUCUGGGAAGGAUCCAAUGAGAAUUCAAGAGGGCAUUGCUUCGGAAAUCCUGUUCCGAUCUUGCCGCUCUCAGUUCUUUAAGAGUUACCUGCGUUGGGAACAUUAUCAUUAGGAUUAAUAGUAUUCCAUCAGUGCAUUUCACAAGGAUUUCCCUUGAACCCUUCUCUCGCUCGCAGAAACAGAAGGAGGCGCAGUGAGGAAGCCCGACACAACCAACCCUCCCCCCUCCCAAAUAAACCACUAGGGUCACUUUAGGAUGACCAAAUCAUCAGCGAUUCACACUGAAGGGGGGAAUCGGAGGGCUGAUGAUGUGGAGGAGGCCGAGUCGCUGGGCGCUUUCGGGGCGCUGUGCCCGGAGGCUCAGGCCAGGGGACAGGGAACCUUGGUUAGAGGCGGCCGCGGAGGCUGCAGGAGCCCACACAGGUCCUGCUUUCUUGGCGAGUCCUGCUGCCCGCGACUGAAGGCAAUUGACUUCCAUCCGCAAUCUCAGCUCCAAACGCCUUGCUUUAGAAGCUGGGGGAACCGUCCCUGGGGGAGCGGGUGGCAGGCUGUGAGCCUCCCGCGACCCCUCUGAUUCCUGCACAGUGCCCGAGGGAGAGUGUGCUAGAAAUGGCUUGGCUGCCGAAUGCAUUAUCUUGCCAUUUUCGUAUCCCGAUACCGCACAAACGAUCGCCUGAUCGAUCGGAACUAGGAGGGAAAGGUAGAGUGGAAAUUGAUUUCUGGCAGAGACUGAGGCGCCGAAUGAUAGAGGGAAUAAACAUUUGCCCUGGAUAAAAAUGUUCUUGGAGAGUAGUAGCAUGCAAGGGUGAAUUUGAAGUCGGGACUUUAAGGAGGCAAUAUGAAGGUGUAAGGUCCUUCUCCCACAUUCAAAACUCAAACACAGGAACUUGAUGACUUAACAGCAAACUCUUGCUUCACGGCUAUUCCAUUCCUCCAGUUCAGUGGAGUCAGCAGGAUGGGCGUGGUGAUCUGAUACACAGAGAUUCAGGGACCAAGAUGCCUUCCACCUCAUGACCCAGUGUUCCACUAAGUCCUUGGAUGUUCUCUACUCAUUUGAUAAGGGAAAAAGCAAUAUAAACAAUUAAAAAGUGAGAGAAGACAUCGGGAAUAAAGAACAGAAAUUUUGAUCACAGACGAUAUAACCACAUUUCCAGGAAAAUAAAAUUUCUUUUAGCAAUUAUUGCUAAAUUCCUCUGGUAAGAUCUUAAUUUGCUUUGAAAAACUCAUGAAAAAUCUCAUUUACUCACAGAAAAUAAUACAGCCUUUGUUGUUAAGCAUAAGAAGUUAAUAGCAGAUUUUUAAUCUUGAACAACUGUAAAAUAUGUAUAACUUUUCAAAGGGCAAAUAUAUAUUUGCAAAUUAAUUUAAACGUAAUAUAAAAGAAUGGAAACUCUUAAUAUAUUCAUCAUGCUACAUGCACUACACAUGAAUAGUA
ensembl:lncRNA